rnacentral:rRNA from 1 species
AGGGUUUGAUCAUGGCUCAGAUUGAACGCUGGCGGAAUGCUUUACACAUGCAAGUCGAACGGCAGCACGGACUUCGGUCUGGUGGCGAGUGGCGAACGGGUGAGUAAUAUAUCGGAACGUAUCCAAUAAUGGGGGAUAACUAAUCGAAAGGUUGGCUAAUACCGCAUACGCCCUACGGGGGAAAGCUAGGGACCUUCGGGCCUGGCGUUAAUGGAGCGGCCGAUAUCUGAUUAGCUAGUUGGUGAGGUAAAGGCUCACCAAGGCGACGAUCAGUAGCUGGUCUGAGAGGACGACCAGCCACACUGGAACUGAGACACGGUCCAGACUCCUACGGGAGGCAGCAGUGGGGAAUUUUGGACAAUGGGCGAAAGCCUGAUCCAGCCAUUCCGCGUGAGUGAAGAAGGCCUUCGGGUUGUAAAGCUCUUUCGCAAGGGAAGAAAGAUUACUCUCUAACAUAGAGUAAUUAUGACGGUACCUUGAUAAGAAGCACCGGCUAACUACGUGCCAGCAGCCGCGGUA